UUAACCAUUUCCAACUAUAGU
rnacentral:piRNA from 1 species